AUUGAACGCUGGCGGCAGGCCUAACACAUGCAAGUCGAGCGGAGCGGCGGACGGGUGAGUAAUGCCUAGGAAUCUGCCUGGUAGUGGGGGAUAACGUCCGGAAACGGGCGCUAAUACCGCAUACUAUCAGAUGAGCCUAGGUCGGAUUAGCUAGUUGGUGGGGUAAAGGCCUACCAAGGCGACGAUCCGUAACUGGUCUGAGAGGAUGAUCAGUCACACUGGAACUGAGACACGGUCCAGCCGCCUACGGGAGGAAGCAGUGGGGAAUAUUGGACACUGGGCGAAAGCCUGAUCCAGCCAUCCCGCGUGAAGGACGACGGCCUAUGGGUUGUAAACUUCUUUUGUAGGUACUAUACGAAUAAGCACCGGCUAACUCCGUGCCAGCAGCCGCGGUAAUAC
rnacentral:rRNA from 1 species